UGCGUAGGUGGUUUCUUAAGUCAGAGGUGAAAGGCUACGGCUCAACCGUAGUAAGCCUUUGAAACUGGGAAACUUGAGUGCAGGAGAGGAGAGUGGAAUUCCUAGUGUAGCGGUGAAAUGCGUAGAUAUUAGGAGGAACACCAGUUGCGAAGGCGGCUCUCUGGACUGUAACUGACACUGAGGCACGAAAGCGUGGGGAGCAACA
rnacentral:rRNA from 1 species